AGUGAACGCUGGCGGUAGGCCUAACACAUGCAAGUCGAACGGCAGCACAGUAAGAGCUUGCUCUUACGGGUGGCGAGUGGCGGACGGGUGAGGAAUACAUCGGAAUCUACUUUUUCGUGGGGGAUAACGUAGGGAAACUUACGCUAAUACCGCAUACGACCUACGGGUGACAGCAGGGGAUCUUCGGACCUUGCGCGAUUGAAUGAGCCGAUGUCGGAUUAGCUAGUUGGCGGGGUAAAGGCCCACCAAGGCGACGAUCCGUAGCUGGUCUGAGAGGAUGAUCAGCCACACUGGAACUGAGACACGGUCCAGACUCCUACGGGAGGCAGCAGUGGGGAAUAUUGGACAAUGGGCGCAAGCCUGAGCCAGCCAUACCGCGUGGGUGAAGAAGGCCUUCGGGUUGUAAAGCCCUUUUGUUGGGAAAGAAAAGCAGCAGGUUAAUACCCCGCUGUUCUGACGGUACCCAAAGAAUAAGCACCGGCUAACUUCGUG
rnacentral:rRNA from 1 species